AGACGUAUUAGUGCACUAGCUCCGAGCGCUACAACUUUGUUGGAAAUCCGUAGAAAAGAACAUCAAACAUCCGUAUAUCACUACUACAAAUUGAUCAUUGCAAACGACUUAUCACCACCGGUUUAAAUCAAACCGGCGGUGAUAGUGGUGGUUAUCACCGCCGGAUCGUUAUGCAACCCGUUACGACCGGACGGUGAUAGACCCGGUUCGUAUUACGAUGAAGGUGAUGCUCGUUGAAUCUAUUCCCAUUAUUUUCCUCUCCCCCUAGUAGUGUUUCCCUUCCAAUUAUCCUCCUCUGCCCUUCUCUCUCCCCUGCGCCCCUCAUCUCCUCCGUGUUCUCCCCGUCCUUAUCCCCUCGCCUGUGCCCCUCCCAGUCUGGCGAUUCUCCCCUCCCCACCCUGGCGCUGCUCCCCUCCUCCCCGGCGCCCCUCCUCUCUCCUUCCCCGCCGCUGCUCCCCUCCCCGCCGCUGCUCCCAGUCCCCUCCCCUUCCCCCAGCUGCUCCCUUCACUGGGCGCUCCUCCCCUGCGCGCGGCAGCGUGAGGGUCUGCGACGUGCGGCGCUUAGAGCGGCGGCAUGCCGUGCGGGGAGAAGCGGCGCGAGGGGGUGGCGGCCGCAGCGCGAGGGGCUGCGGGGUCUCGGCGCGAGGGGCGGUGGUGAGAUGUGCGAGGGCGCGAGGGAAGGUGGGGCGCACGGGGCGGCAGUGCGCCGGAUGCGGCGAGCCGUGCGAGGAGAGGUGUGAGGCCGCGCGAGGAGCCGGGACGCCGCUGGACAAGGGGCCGCGCGAGGAGUCGCGACGCCGCUGCGCGAGGGGCCGCGAGGCCGCUGCGUGAGGAGAGGCGCGAGGCGGCGAGCGAGGGGCCGCUGCGUGAGGAGAGGCGACACGGCGGCGAGCGGCGCGAGGGGAGAGGCAGGGAGAGGCACCGCGGCGGUAGGGGGCCGGCAGCAAGCUGCGUCGUGUUUUUUUUUUUUUUACUGCCGACCUAAUCCAACGGGGACUUAAACCGGUGGUGAUGGGUUUUAGAACCAGCGGUAAUGACCCAAUUUGUAGCCGUAGUAGUACAUGUAAUAUAAGCACAUGUACAAGUUCUCGUUCCUGCCAGAGCUCCUCCGAAAAAUACUAAGACGGCUACAGUCAGGGCAUGGUCUAAUUAGGUAUGAACCUAUAAUCAUAUGAUGUCUCAUCAGUUGCCAUCAGGCGCGGCACCACAAAUAGGCACAAAUUAAAGUUGGAGAACCAAAUCAUGGCCACACAGAAGAAGAUAACGAUCCUCACCGCACCAUAGCACAUCCACAGGUGCGCACUGUAGUUUCCAUCAUCAUCAUCAUCAGGUCUUCUUUGGUGGAGCUUCACCUUGCUCGAAGCUCCACCACUCUAGCAUGCAGGAGCCGGAGCUAAAUUAUGGCUCCACGGGCACUUAUAGUCUUGUAAGGCCGAGGAGGAGGAGAGAGAAAAACAGUGGAACCACAGAUUAUGGCUCCACGGGCUCUUAUAGUUUUGUAAGGGGAGGGGAAGGAGAAGGAGAAAGAAUUUGGGCUCCGUUUGGUACAGCAGCACUGUAGUUUUGUAAGGAGGAGGAGGAGGAGAG
rnacentral:lncRNA from 1 species